rnacentral:misc_RNA from 1 species
CACUGCAGCUCGGAGCCUCCAUACUGGGGCGGGAUGUUUAUAUCGUCUGCUUCCGAGGACAUUCCCGAGGAGGAUGACAGCAACAUGCCGUCAAAGCAAAGCAGUUUUGAGGUGGAAUCUUUCCAAGAGCGACCUAGUAGGGAAUUUCAAGAAUCGAAAUUAAGGGUGCCAGUUCGUCGUGGGACGUUAGUGAAGCAAAAAUCUGUGUGUGACUCUCAAUACAGCGAAAGUGACUAUGCCGAAACGCGAUUCGACGUGCCGCAAAUACAGAUUGAAGAAAGUGACAGUUAUCCGGUCGAUCUGAAAACUAGAGAACUGAAUUUGCUUCGAGCAAGACUUCAAGAUAUACAAAAUAAAAAAUCAAGACAAAGAAACGAUUUUGUCAAGCAGAAAUCUGAAUCUUGCGUCGAUCGAAUUUACCGACAUGACCAGACGUUUUUGAAAAGACGACGAAAAGCAGCGGCUUCAUGUGACAAUAUAAACAGAAGAGUUCUAAAAGUGCCAAGCAUUCAAACACAGAACAGCGAAGAUGACAUCACAGAGUCUUUCUGUGAAGCAGACGAUCAGAAAAACGCGGAGACAAUUCCUCUCCAAGAUUUGUCGGAACUAAACGAUACGAUUGACGCGGACAUUGCAAGUGUGAAAAACCGGAAGAAUGGAUUCCGAGAAAGAGUGUCGGAAUUCUGGAGCAAAAGUGUCGGAAGCAUGAUUGGAAAAGGCGCGCGCUCCAAGCCGCGGCCUUUGACGCGAAAAAGUAAUAGCUUAUUUACAGUCCAACCCAGUAUAGAUUCCCAAAUUAUGGGAGACGACCUGAAACGGAAUUUUUAUACCGAAAAAAUUCUUGAUGAUAAAUUGCUGGAUGGAAAUAUUGCUGAUAUUUUGUUUGCUGUCGAUGCAAUUUGGCCAAAGGCAUGAUUUUUGAUGACAUAUACCGGUAAAGAUAUGCGAUUUUUGCAAUAGACAACGGUAAUCGAAGAAUUAUAUCAACGCGCUGAAUAAUUACUUCUUAAUUUAUCUGUCUCCAGCUGUUAUUUGAUUUUUACAUGUGAAUUAUAUUUCAUUCAAUUCCCACCGAAUAUUUACUUCAUUUCUUUUCCUUCAAGGUAUGAUAUAUUUUUUAUAUUUAGAGAAUUCUGUUAUGUUUUCAAAAUGAUUAGUAUUAAAGUCACAGUUAUG